GAUGAACGCUGGCGGCGUGCUUAACACAUGCAAGUCGAACGGAGUUUGACAGGUGCUUGCACCGGUUAAACUUAGUGGCGGACGGGUGAGUAACGCGUGGGUAACCUGCCUCGUACUGGGGGAUAACAGUUGGAAACAGCUGCUAAUACCGCAUAAGCUCACAGAGCCGCAUGGCUCAGAGAGAAAAACUCCGGUGGUACGAGAUGGACCCGCGUCUGAUUAGCUAGUUGGUGAGGUAACGGCUCACCAAGGCGACGAUCAGUAGCCGGCCUGAGAGGGUGAACGGCCACAUUGGGACUGAGACACGGGCCCAAACUCCUACGGGAGGCAGCAGUGGGGAAUAGUUGCACAAUGGGGGAAACCCUGAUGCAGCGACGCCGCGUGAGUGAAGAAGUAUUUCGGUAUGUAAAGCUCUAUCAGCAGGGAAGAGAAUGACGGUACCUGACUAAGAGCACCGGCUAAAUACGUG
rnacentral:rRNA from 1 species